AGGAAAGUGUGAAGUGAGGCUUCUAUAACCAAGCAAGAUUCCUUCACAUAUCCAAGCUAUGGAGAAACAGUUUUGAACAUGCUGGAACUCAGGGGAUGCUGACCCAUGAGCUUUUUUCAAGAAACCUGACACCUGGGAAAACUGGUGAAACAAGAUUAAUAGUGAGUGUUUAAUAUAUUUAACUGAAGAUCUAAGACUAAACCAAAGGUAAGAUAAGAAUCAAAGGAUGAUAUAGAAACAUGUUCUCUGACAAAGUCAGAAAAAAGCACAACCUAAAAAAAGAAAGAGAGGGAAAAGCAUAAUUAGCUCAAUGAUUUACUUACAAAAGUUGGGAAACAAAUGACAUCAUUUCAAGCUACCAAAAAAAAAAAGCAGAAGCUUAAAUAUAUUUAGGUGCACAGAGUGCAAGUAAAGAAAGAGAAUAUGCAUUAUUCUAAUCAUUAAAAUUGAAUGGCAGAGAAAGGAAGGAAAGAGGAGUUUGCAAAACAAAUUAUAUUCUUCUUGCUUACAGUAGAGACCCAGUCAAUAUUAUCUAAAGGAAAGAAGGAAGAAUGGGUAUUAUAAAAACGUCAGUACUAAUACAAAAGUUCAAACAUUUCCAAUUAUCAAAAGCAAAAAACAGAACAGAAAAACUAAGAAAACAGAACACAUGGCAAAAGUUUUUUAUAACUCUUUUUGAAAAAAAUGAAGCAUUUUUUAAUGCCAGAACUGGGUAUAAACAUGUGGUGAGAGCUUAUAAUUUUAUGUUGCCUUGGCAUCCAUCUUAAAAUAUGUUUUAACUUUCUCAUACCAGAAGCAGGGCUCAGUCAGCCUUGACACCGUUUCUAAUACUAUUCCCCACUGGAAUGGCUCCAGUUGGUGGCCAGAGAUACUGCUUCAUUUCAAGGAACCAUUCAGACAUUUGCCUGCAAACUUAACGUGACCGCCUCUCAGUCAGGGGGACCUCCUGGAACCAGUGCCUGCUUGCUUUAAAUUCAACAAUUAAACCUGUUUGGAUAACACUCUGAACCCAAUAAAGGCCCCGCAAGAGUGACGCUGCCAGGCAGGCGCCGCCCUGUUCGGUUCCUGCUGCUGUCGCUCCUCGCUCCCCACCACCUCCAGAGCUCCGGUGGGUCACCAUGGAAAGGGAAGCCGCUGCCUGCAAGGCCAGCAGACACAGAGGUCACCCUCCAAUUUUUUCGGGUAACAUUCUGUAAGGACAGAACACCAGGAGGCUACUCCUACCACCAGGAGCAUGUCAGGUAAACAUCCAGAGAGAUGAAGGAAGAAAAAAUUUUAUUUUAGCCACCAAGAAAUACAAGCCGUUCUAAAGAUUAUACUUAAAAGAAAAAAAAAACAAAAAAAGGAAGGAAAAAGGGGACCGAUGAUCUUGCAAUCACGGAAGUUGUAGAGAGCUGGCUGCCUAGAGACACUGUGCCCUUCCCUCCUCCCUCUUUUCCUCUUAUCAACCAGAGGCAGAGACUAAGAAUGCCUUCAAGCAACUAAAGCCUAAAAUAAAAAAGAAAGAAAAGAGGAAGAGGGAGAGGGAGGGAGAGAGAGAGAGAGAGAGAGAGAGAGAGAGAGAGAGAGAGAGACUGUUGCUUUAUGCUAUUACAAGUCCAAGAAAAAAAAAAAAAGAGAUGAACUUUAAACUUUAAAUACUUAGCAGCUGCCAGGUCUAGCAAACAUGCUAGCCCUAGAUCACUUACUGAUUUAUAAACAAACCCCUAGAUACAGAGGGGGAAAAAGGUAAUUAAAUAAAAGUUAUAUAUAAUAUUUUAACAUAAAUAUAUGUUGAUAAAUGGUGUAUAUGAUAUAUUUGCAUCUUUUGAUAUAGUUAGAAGUUCAUAAUGCAUAUAGCAAUUUAUAUAUCAAAGAAUUUACAUAACAAAAAGAUUAAAAAGGACACGUACUGGCUUUGUGCUUCUACAAGGUCAGUUCUAAUUUAACUUUAACAAUUUGUUAAAAUGCACUAACAAAAAUGCAUGGACUUAAUAUUGGGGCUCAAAUUAUAUUUAUACCUGGGGAAUUCCACUAAACUUAAACACUCUGCCCAUGUAAUCUUGAGCAGGUAACUGAAUAUAAUAUUUUGUAAAUGAAUAUGCCUUGCAUAUUCAUUUGUAGCAUGGCCUAAAUUUCCCAUAGUUAUAUAUCCAUUGCUGUAAGAUAUUCUAUAUUAGGCAGAGAUGCUCUGACACAAUAAAUAACAAAUUAAAAUUAAAGUAAGUCUUUGGCACUUACAAAUUGACUUAAUAAAAUGGAACCCCUUGUACCCCCAGUUAAUAUAGUUAAUAUGGCCCAAAGUAAGUUGAAAUGGAUUAAAACCAAUUCUAAAAAACCUAUUAAUAAAGGCGUGAUUAUUCCCACUUCCCCAUUUAACAGCCCUUUCAUUAGGGCCCCUAUAUCCAAUACCUAAUAUUAUUAAAAUUGCUGAUUCCGUUCAAUCAACAACUGGUAAAUAUUUUGCUCUUGUGGAUUUGGCUAACGUGCUGUUUCAAUAGCGUCUUCACUGCAGUUCGCCUCCUCCUCUAAAAGAACACAGUACACCUUUUCAGACCUCUGCAGCUGUGUCAUCACAUGCAAUCUUUAAUUAAUCUUAACGACAUCCACCUUCUCCAGGAGCACUGGUAUGAGAGUACAUCCAGGACAUUCUCAGCCAAGGAGACUCACUUAAUACAUACAUUGAUGACAUUCGAGACCAAUAUUUCUUAGUACUUUUGGGUUUUGGUGGCAACAUAUUCCUCAUUUAUAAAUUUUACUUCUAAAUUAAAGUCUAC
rnacentral:lncRNA from 1 species